rnacentral:lncRNA from 1 species
GCCAAAGUGACAUGGCUAAUAAUGGUAGAGUUAGGAUUAGAGCCCAGACUGUCUGACUCCAAACACCGCCACUAACCCUACCGGCCACAGAGAGAUAGAUUGACAACUUGUAAUUACUGAACCAAUGCUGGCAACAACGGCUUGGCUUGGACUAAUGGAAGGAAGACGAGGCCUGAAUUAAAACAAAACACUGGAUAAUCCAAAACCCAAUUUCAUUUGGCUCAGGAAUAGAGCCAGAGACAUCCUCUCAGAGGAGCAGCUACAUUCAAACCAUCUGGACUUGGCCCCGAUCGGUACCCGGGGCUGACAUUCCCUGGAAGCGAUCCUCGAAGGAUCCAGCCCUUCCUUCCAGGCAGCCCUGAGCUAGUACACCUCAAGAUUCUCCAGAAAAAGAACGUCCACACACACCUCUGGAAGCCAGGAGGAAAAACAUACUCCUGAAUUUGAAAAAACAACCUAUGAUUCACCCUGGAGUGACUCUGCGAGAGGGCCAGGCAAAGGUCCACUCCCCGACCCGUGCUGGGAGGGCAAGCCGAGAGCUGCCCAUGUCGCAGGAUGAGAUCCCAGCUCCUAUUCUGACUUAUCGAACAUAUCCAGCUCCUCGGGUUUCUCAGAGCUCUCCUGCCAACUGCAGCAACCACAGGCGGAUCCCGCCUUGAGCACAGCCCAGAUGUGGAAGCGCGAGCUGGUUACUCCCUCUCCAUGUGUCUGCCAAGCUGAUAUAUCCUCGCUUUCCACCCAGAGAGAGUGAGGGGGCUGAGAAAGACCUUGUGGGCCUACCUGCCCCUCCUUCCCCUGCCAGGUUUCUGUCACAUCCUAAAGGAGAUUUUCUGGGAAAGGGUUUUCCUGGCAGGGCCUGGGUGGAGCAGCCUGGUACAGCCCUCCGUGUCUGGCUCCCAGUGAGACUUUCCAGGGGGCCUGUGCUAGCCUCCCCUUCCUUCAGGUCCUGUAACGGACUCCCACAGAGUGCUCCUGCUUCAGAGGGUGGAGCCGAGGAGGCCCAGGACACCAGUGGAAAGGAGAUGAGCAGCCAUCUGACAUGCUCAAGUACACACACAUGUACGUGGAGAAGAGGCCGUCUGAGGACACUGCAAGGAGCUGGCCGUCCACAAGCCAGGAAGAGAGGCCUCACCAGAAACCAACCUGCCUGUACCUUGCUCUUGGACUCUCGGCCUCUGGAACUGUAUUUUCAAGAGACUUGAAAAGCUGUUUCAAAAAUGUACAUGGCAGGGCAACUGUCCAAGAAAGCCAAGACACUCCUGAAAAAGAAUCUCCAUGACCAAGGGUAAGUGAAAACGAGGAAAACAACACUGAGGAUGGGAGGGGACUACUGUACCGUGACUUGCUGCUAAGCUGGAGUAAUAAAGAUAGUGUUCAUUGGAACAAAGACCGACAAAUGGACCAAGUGAACAGAACAGAGAACCUAGAACAACAUCCAUGUAUAUGUGGAAGCUUGAUUUAUGACCAAGUGGACAUUUCAGAUAGCGGAUAAAGCCUGGGCCACUUAAUAAACGGUACUGAGACAACUGGUUAAUUAGACAGAAAUGAGUGAAAUUGCAUCCCUGCCUCCCAGCAUACACCAAAAACUCCAUUGUGGGACUGAAAUGUGAAAGAUAAAACUGUAAAAUCUUUAAAAGGCAACGUAUAGAAAUAUUUUUAUAUGCUCAGGGACAGGGAGAACUUCUGAAUCAAGAACAAAAAGCUCAAAUGAUAAAGGAAACAACUGAUAAAUUCAACUACAUUUUAUUUUUUGAGGAAGAUUAGCCCUGAACUAACAUCUGCUGCCAAUCCUCUUUUUGCUGAGGAAGACUGGCCCUGAGCUAACAUCCAUGCCCACCUUCCUCUACUUUAUAUGUGGGACGCCUACCACAGCAUGGCUUGCCAAGCGGUGCCAUGUCUGCACCCGGGAUCCGAACCAGCGAACCCUGGGCUGCCGAAGCGGAACGUGCGCACUUAACCACUGAGCCACUGGGCCGGCCCCUCAACUACAUUUUAAAAGGAGAGAGUAAAAAGGCAAUUUACUGGGAAACCAUAAUUGGAGCACAUUUAACUAACAAAAGAUUAAUAUGGAGAAUAUAUAAAGGACUCCUAUACAUCAAAAAGAAAAAGCAAAAAUAAAUUAUAACCAUGAGCAAAAGCCUGAAGAAAGCAUUUCACAGAAGAGGAAAUACAAAUGGCCCGUCGACAUGUGAAAAUGUGCUUGACCUCUUCAGUCAUCAGAGAAAUGCACAUUAAAACCUUGAUGAGAUGCUCUGUCACAUGUAGUCUCACCACACCUACCCCUUCAUACUUACCAGACUGACUACAAUUAGAAAGUGGGUCACCCCAGGUCCCGGAUAGGAUGUGGGCAACAACAGGAACUGCCAUCACAGCUCAUGGUAACAUAAAUUGAUACAACUACUUUGAAAAAAGUUUAGCUUUAUCUAAUAAAGAGAUUAAUAUGCAUAUUUUCUACCACCCAGCAAUUCCACUCCUGUGUUAUGUACCCUUGACAAUUUCCUACCCAAGAGUUCCAGGCGACAUGCACAGAUGUUGGUAGCAGGGUUGUUUAGCAGAGCCAGGACCCGGGGGAGGAAGAGAGGCUCCUGGGGCACAGAAGGGAGGUGGCAGUCAGCCCAAACCUCCUUCUAGGUUGUUGCCUCUAGUGUCGCACCCUCAGUGUCUGCAGUGGGUUGAAUGUUUGCCCAAAAGAUACAUGCACAUCCCGAAGCCUGUGAAUGUGACAUUAUCUGGGAAAAGGGUCUUUGAAGAUGUAAUUAAAUUAAGGAUCUGGAGAUGAGAUCAUUUCGGGAUAAUCUGGGUGGGCCCUAAAUUCAAUGACAAGUGUCCUUAUAAGAGACACAAGGAAACAGGGGGAAGGUCAUGUGUGGACGGAGGCAGAGAUUGGAAUCAUGCUGCCACCGGCCAUAAACCAAGCAAGACCUGGAGCGACCAGAAGUUAGAAGAGGCCAGGAAGGAUUCUAUCCUGGAUCCUUAAAGGGAGCAAGGCCCUGCUGACACCUUGGUUACAGACUUCUGGCCUCCAGAACUGUGAGAGAAUAAAUUUAUGUUGUUUUAAGCCACUACAUUUGUGGCCAUUUAUUACAGCAGCCACAGGAAACUAACAGAGGGUCUCUCUUGCCCCACUGUAGUCCCAGCUCUGUUGGAAAAGAAGGAAACAAUCGUCAUGUCUAUCAGUAGACAUGUAGAAUACACGAAUAAUUUGUGGUGGUAUCCCACAAUGGAAUGUUAUAGCUGAAUGAAUGAACUGCAGGUACAUGGGUCAAUUUCAAUGAAUCUCAAACAAAUGUUGAGUGAAAGAAGCAAAUUGGAGAAAACUACAAAUAGGUGAUCUCAUUAAUACAAAUUUCAAAAUUAGGUAAAAGGAAACAAUGUAUUGUUUAGGUUUCCAUGCACAGGGAGUAAAGCUAUAAAGAAAAAGCAAGUGACUGAUAAUGCAAAAUAGUGAUUUCUUGUGGGAGAGCGGAGCAUACCACUGGGAAGAGGCAUUCAGGGCUUGUAAGUUGUGGGGUUUAAGCUGGAUACUGCGUACAAUGGUAUUUCUUGUAUUAUUCCUCUUUACACUCUAUGUGUACCUUUUAUAGACUUUUUGAUAUUUCUGAUAUCAUUUAUAAUAAAAACUAAUUAACAAAGAAAGUAAAGCCUUCUGGAAAUUAA